rnacentral:rRNA from 1 species
UGGGGAAUAUUGGACAAUGGGGGCAACCCUGAUCCAGCCAUGCCGCGUGAGUGAUGAAGGCCUUCGGGUUGUAAAGCUCUUUUGGUGGGGACGAUGAUGACGGUACCCACAGAAUAAGCUCCGGCUAACUUCGUGCCAGCAGCCGCGGUAAUACGAAGGGAGCUAGCGUUGUUCGGAAUUACUGGGCGUAAAGGGCGCGUAGGCGGUCAGGCAAGUCAGAUGUGAAAGCCCUGGGCUUAACCCGGGAAUUGCGUUUGAUACUACCUGGCUUGAAUUCGGGAGAGGUUGGUGGAAUUCCCAGUGUAGAGGUGAAAUUCGUAGAGAUUGGGAAGAACACCCGUGGCGAAGGCGGCCAACUGGACCGACAUUGACGCUGAGGCGCGAAAGCGUGGGGAGCGA